rnacentral:rRNA from 1 species
ACAGGGAUUGCCCUAGUAACGGCGAGUGAAGCGGCAACAGCUCAAAUUUGAAAUCUGGCUCUUUCAGAGUCCGAGUUGUAAUUUGCAGAGGGCGCUUUGGCUUUGGCAGCGGUCCAAGUUCCUUGGAACAGGACGUCACAGAGGGUGAGAAUCCCGUACGUGGUCGCUAGCUAUUGCCGUGUAAAGCCCCUUCGACGAGUCGAGUUGUUUGGGAAUGCAGCUCUAAAUGGGAGGUAAAUUUCUUCUAAAGCUAAAUAUUGGCCAGAGACCGAUAGCGCACAAGUAGAGUGAUCGAAAGAUGAAAAGCACUUUGGAAAGAGAGUCAAACAGCACGUGAAAUUGUUGAAAGGGAAGCGCUUGCAGCCAGACUUGCUUGCAGUUGCUCAUCCGGGCUUUUGCCCGGUGCACUCUUCUGCAGGCAGGCCAGCAUCAGUUUGGGCGGUGGGAUAAAGGUCUCUGUCACGUACCUCUCUUCGGGGAGGACUUAUAGGGGAGGCGACAUACCACCAGCCUGGACUGAGGUCCGCGCAUCUGCUAGGAUGCUGGCGUAAUGGCUGUAAGCGGCCCGUCUUGAAACACGGACCAAGGAGUCUAACAUCUAUGCGAGUGUUUGGGUGUCAAGCCCGAGCGCGUAAUGAAAGUGAACGGAGGUGGGAACCCGCAAGGGCGCACCAUCGACCGAUCCUGAAGUUUACGGAAGGAUUUGAGUAAGAGCAUGGCUGUUGGGACCCGAAAGAUGGUGAACUAUGCUUGAAUAGGGUGAAGCCAGAGGAAACUCUGGUGGAGGCUCGCAGCGGUUCUGACGUGCAAAUCGAUCGUCAAAUUUGGGCAUAGGGGCGAAAGACUAAUCGAACUAUC